rnacentral:rRNA from 1 species
UCGCAGAAGAAGCACCGGCUAACUCCGUGCCAGCAGCCGCGGUAAUACGGAGGGUGCAAGCGUUAAUCGGAAUUACUGGGCGUAAAGCGCACGCAGGCGGUUUGUUAAGUCAGAUGUGAAAUCCCCGCGCUUAACGUGGGAACUGCAUUUGAAACUGGCAAGCUAGAGUCUUGUAGAGGGGGGUAGAAUUCCAGGUGUAGCGGUGAAAUGCGUAGAGAUCUGGAGGAAUAC